rnacentral:rRNA from 1 species
UAGGGAAUCUUCGGCAAUGGGGGGAACCCUGACCGAGCAACGCCGCGUGAGUGAAGAAGGUUUUCGGAUCGUAAAGCUCUGUUGUUAAGGAAGAACGAGUGUGAGAAUGGAAAGUUCAUGCUGUGAUGGUACUUAACCAGAAAGGGACGGCUAACUACGUGCCAGCAGCCGCGGUAAUACGUAGGUCCCGAGCGUUGUCCGGAUUUAUUGGGCGUGAAGCGAGCGCAGGCGGUUAGAAAAGUCUGAAGUGAAAGGCAGUGGCUCAACCAUUGUAGGCUUUAGAAACUGUUUAACUUGAGUGCAGAAGGGGAGAGUGGAAUUCCAUGUGUAGCGGUGAAAUGCGUAGAUAUAUGGAGGAACACCGGUGGCGAAGGCGGCUCUCUGGUCUGUAACUGACGCUGAGGCUCGAAAGCGUGGGGAGCGAACAGG